rnacentral:rRNA from 1 species
UACGUAGGAGGCAAGCGUUGUCCGGAUUUACUGGGCGUAAAGCGCGCGCAGGCGGCAUGGCAAGUCACUUGUGAAAUCUCCGGGCUUAACUCGGAACGGUCAAGUGAUACUGCUGUGCUAGAGUGCGGAAGGGGCAACUGGAAUUCUUGGUGUAGCGGUGAAAUGCGUAGAUAUCAAGAGGAACACCUGCGGCGAAGGCGGGUUGCUGGGCCGACACUGACGCUGAGGCGCGAAAGCUAGGGGAGCGAACGGG